rfam:Schistosoma rodhaini strain Burundi genome assembly, scaffold: SROB_scaffold0007284
AUCCAGCUGACAAGUCCCGAAUUGGACGAAACGCGCGUCCUGGAU